GUUUGUGGUAGUGAAAAUUGGAGAUUAGUAAGAGGAGCUGGACUGUUUAGAAAGAAAAUGUAGAGUUAUCAUCUGCAAUCUGAUGUGGUCUUCCUUUUCAGAAAAAAAUACUGUUUCUGGCAUUCAUGUUGGGAGAGAGGAGCCGUCCUUUCCAAGACUUUCAGUAUAGGCAUGCUUCUAAGAAGGGUAUUGACCAUGAGGAAGCCUGUGUGCUAGUAACCAGUGUUUACUAAUCCCGCCGAAGAAAAUGAAGCCACGUUUCAGCUUUGCCGAUCCUUUUCCCACCCUAUUGGCUGAAUAAGAAAUGGUUGUGU
rnacentral:lncRNA from 1 species